AACAGACAUUCACCAAAAAAGGUAUGUGAUUUGUAAAUAAGCAAGAUGCUUGAGAUCAUUAGUUAUUAGGGAAAUGCAGAUUAAAACCACAACGAGAUACCACUAUACAUCUGUCAGUAUAACUAAAAUUAAAGACUGAAUGUAUCAAGGGUUGACAAAAAUGUGGAGGAUGUGGACCUCUGGAACAUCCACUUUGCAAAACAGUAUGUAGCGAUCUUAAGAAGCUAGACAUACACCUACCAUAUGAUCCAACCACUCCUCUCUUAGAAGUUUACCCAAGAGAAUUUCAAGUGGAUGUCCAUACACAAACUUGUAUGGAAAUGUCCAUUAGCAAUUUCACUUGCAUAGUCAAAAACUGGAAACAGCCCAAACAUUCAUCAACAGAAAAAUGGAUGAACAAAUUGCAUUUGUUUAUCUUAAGAUACUAUUCAACAAUUUAAAAGAAUAAACUAUUGAUACAUGCAACGUAAGUGAAUCUCAAAAUUAUUAUGCUGAGUGGAAAAAGUAAGAUUUUUAAAAAGAGUAUAUGCUGUAUGAUUCUACUUAUAGUAAGCUGUAAAACAUGCAAACUGGCCUGCCACAGUGGCUCCUGCCCAUAAUCCCAGCACUUUGGGAGGCCGAGGUGGGAGGAUCACUUGAGCUCAGGAGUUCCAGACCAACCUGAGCAACAUGGCAAAACCAUGUCUCCACCAAACAAACAAAAAUUAGCCAGGCAUGGUGACAUGUGCCUGUAGUCCCAGCUAUUUGGGAGGCUAAGGUGGGAGGAUCACUUGAGCCCAGGAGGUGGAAGCUGCAGUGAGCCAAGAUCGUGCCACUGCACUCCAGCCUGGGCAACAGAGUGAGACCCGGUCUACAAAAAAAAAGAAAACAAACAAAUAAAACACCCACGAAACAACAACAACAAAAAGCAGACAUGCAAACUGAUCUCUAGUGACAGAAAUUAAAUUGGUGCAUACGGCAGGAAGGAGGGAGGUAAAAGCAAAAGGGAGGGGUACAGAGGGCCAGAGAGGAACGCUGGGGUAGUGUAUGAGUUCAUUAUCUUUGAUUGUGCUGAUGCUUUCAUGGAUCAUACGUAUUCCAAAGUCGAUCAAAAUGCAUACUUUAAAUAGGUGCAGUUUAUUAUAUGUCAAUUAUAACUGAAUAAAGCUGUUAAAAAAUACAAAAGAGCCCAGUACAGUGCCUGUAGCUCUCAGGCAGUUAUUAGGAGUCCUGUUCACACACAAGGACAGCGCUGUGAGUUUACCUGAUCAUAAACACAAGAAUCAGCAACAUACUUUCUUCUAAAACUUUCAUUCCAGCAGCAUAAAUCGCAUGAGAGCACACCAUAAUUCUUCUGUGUCUUUAGAUUCAUAAUGUAGUUAACGCAGCACUACAACCUCUAAUGUGUUGGCACAAUUAAAUAAAUGUAAAGUUGCUGUAACCUACAGAAAAAUCUCAGGAUACAAAUCUGUGUUACCUAAAUAGGAAGCACCUAAAGGGUCUCUUGCAGUCUGGAAGAGGACGGGCUCGUGGACAGAGGGCGUGGCCACAUCCACAGUUGUCCACGCCACACUGUGGGACGACCCGCAAGCCACACACAUGAUCUUCUGGCCUUCUAAGCCUUGCACGAGCGUGGGCUUCCUGUUAACCGUGGUCGUGCCAUUGCCCUGCUGGCCGUGGUCAUUGUCACCCCAAGCAUACACCUGUUUACGAGGAGAAAAAAGCUUAUAAUUUUUCAACAUUUCAGGACAUUUUCUUUAAUGUAAUUUUUACUUCAAAAUGCUUAACGUGUAUGCCAUGGUAUUUGAAAGAAUUGAGUUCUUAAAAGUAAAAGCAAACCAUUUCACAAUCUUACAAAAUGGCAUCGGUGUACUAUAAUUCUGAAGAAAAUCUAACCAUGAAAAUGCCAAUAACCAUAAAAGGAGUAUUUUCUUAAUAUUAAUCAAAUUAAUUCUGCUUUGUUGCAAGUCACACAGAAGGUCCUCUCUUCAACUAAGUGCAAUAAUUUUUUCCCUUUUACUUUGCAAAGAAAAAUGACCAAAAACAAUAUGCUCAUUUUUCAAGUAAGUAGCUCCUUGGCCUUAUAGAAUUAUAAAGUAUAAUUCAUUUUGACUAAAAAACAGUAAUGGUAAUUUUGUUUUCAUAAAUAAAAUUUUAAAUUGAAUAUCCACAAGCCGGUCAUAGCAUAUGCUUCUCCAAGCAGAAGAGAGUGUAACACUUGUCAGGCACUAGCUCUGUCUCUAAAAUGAGGCAUGGGUGCCUCCUCACCAGUUAGCAAUUUCCUAAAGCAAAGUCUUGUUAAUACCUUGCAGUAGGAGCAUCUUCAAGAAUAACAAUCUUUUGGCCGGGUGCGGUGGCUCACGCCUGUAAUCCCAGCACUUUGGGAGGCCGAGGCAGGUGGAUCACGAGGUCAGGAGAUCGAGACCACGGUGAAACCCCGUCUCUACUAAAAAUACAAAAAAUUAGCCGGGCGUAGUGGCGGGCGCCUGUAGUCCCAGCUACUCGGGAGGCUGAGGCAGGAGAAUGGCAUGAACCCAGGAGGCAGAACUUGCAGUGAGCCGAGAUUGCGCCACUGCACUCCAGCCUGGGCGACAGAGCGAGACUCUGUCUCAAAAAAAAAAAAAAAGGAUAACAAUCUUUCCACACACUUUUCACGUGGACUUCAGAGUGGGAACGCCUCUUUUCUGAGGACCCCACCCCCAACCCCUGCUGCUGAGCAGGCAGAUACACCAGCGGGCAAAACGGAUGGGUCCCGGCCUCAUGGUUCUUCAAGCAGUAAGACUCGGCUGAGUUCAUCAACAGCUGUGAUUUCAACAGGACGAGGGCCAUGUCGUGACCCCCACGUCCCCCAAGUCAGGAUGGCACGCCACCCCCAGGCCACCUGCAGCCUUACCUGCCCCGAGUCCGUGACCGCCAGGCAGUGCAGGGCCCCGACAGCCACAUGCACGAUCUUCUUCCCUCUCAGCCCUUCCACCACCUACAGUUUCCACACGUGCACGUCAGAGCCCUGGCGCAACCUGAAGUAAUCCCCCUUUCCCCUGAGAAGGAGGCCCGUGGUGGAGUGUUACAAUAUAGUUGUGGUCUGACAAUGCUAUACAAGAAGACACUCAUUGUCUCACAUCUUUCACAGCCAGCUCAAUGACAUCACACACAGCACCCAAGGUCUUCGAACUUGUAUUCAAAAUCAUACACCAUUAAUUCAAAUUAACUUAUUAAGUCAGCUGGGAAAAACCUUAAUACCUUAAUACAUGUUCUACAAUAUUUAAGUUACUGUUGUAGGUUUUCAUAUAGACUGAAAAUAAGACACAUUACUGCAAACACCUAUCCAAAGUCCUAUCUGGUAUACAUCUUUCUCAGAGUGCCAAUGUCGGCCAGUAGCAGUGGUUCACGCCUGUAAUCCCAGCACUUUGGGAGGCCGAGGCGGGUGGAUCACAAGGUCAGGAGAUCGAGACCAUCCUGGCUAACAUGGUGAAACCCUAUCUCUACUAAAAACACAAAAAAAUUAGCCGGGCAUGGUGGCAGACGCCUGUAGUCCCAGCUACUCGGGAGGCUGAGGCAGGAGAAUGGCGUGAACCCGGGAGACGGAGCUUGCAGUGAGCUGAGAUUGUGCCACUGCAUUCCAGCCUGGGCGACAGAGCGAGACUCCAUCUCAAAUAAAUAAAUAAAUAAAUAAAUAAAUAAAUAAAUAAAUAAAUAAAUAGUGCCAAUGUUAUGACCAGAGGCAGCAAGGCCUGACACAGCAUCCAAGGCCAGUCUGGGCACCUGCUCAUUUGCACAUUAAUAUAAUAAGCUUUUACAAGAAAUACAUGUUAACUUUCUCAGGAUCAAAGGAUUCAGAAGGCUAUUUUGCUCUCAUUUUAUCCUUAGGCUUCAGCAGAAGAAACACUUCCUAUAAAUCUCGCCCAAACAGGAAAGGUAAGUGGCCUAAAAUUUUUCUAGUAUUUUCAAAAUGACCCAGUUACAAUAGGAAAUUUCUUCUUGUACUAUUGUCACUAAUCCCGACUCAAUAUCCUUUAAAGGACAAAGAUGCAUGCAUAAGUAAAAAUAUGACAGGUCACAAUCACGCCGGGGUGGUCCUGGGGCGAGGCCCAAGUUCCCUGCACGCGCCGGCACAAGCACACACACUGUGACGGGGAGGACGUUUACGUACCAUGUCCACACCACUCCAGACUUGGUGAGCGCCAGUAGGAACUGAGCUCCACACUCAAUCUGGCACACCCCCUGUCCAUUUAGUCUCUCAAUGUUCUGGGGAAUGUUGCAGCCUUCACUUCCGCCCCGGCCCAAUUUUCCAAAGUCACCAUCACCCCAGGAAAAUACCAAACCUAGGUUUAAAAAUAGGGAAGGGAAGGGAAGGGAAGGGAAGGGAGAGAAGAAAGGAAAGAUAAAGAAAGCCCAACCUCCUUCCAAAAUGUCAUGAGAAUCUUGAGCACAUAUGGUCCUUGGCAUGACCACAUGACCUGCAGAGCCCCUGUUAUAGAACUCAUUUUUAUAUUUUCCUUAGUAUAACAGUUAAUAUAAUAUGUCAUUUUUGUUAAUAGUGUCUUUUUGUCAUUUUACUUUUUAAAAGAUUUUAUUGAAAUAUACAUACAGGAAAGUGCAUCUAUCAUAAGUGUGCAAAUUGAUGAAUUCUAAAAUCUUUAUUGUACCUGUUUAGCACCUAGAUUGACACUGAACAUAACUAACAACCAGAAAUCUCCGUGUACUCCCUUCCUGUAACUACCCCUGCGCCCGACCAAAUCACUCUCUUCUAACAGCAUAACUUUGUGUGACUAGCUUUUUUAAUGUAAAAGAAUGAAAUCUACAGCAUGUAUUCAUUUGCAUCUGGCUUCUGCCACCCAACAUUAUAUUUGUGGGAUUCGUUUGUACAGUUGCAUAUUAGUUUGCAGAUCCCUCACUCUCAUUUCUAUAUGGUAUUAUAUUGCAUAAACGUACCACACUUUAUCCAACUACUGUUAAAUAUUUGUGCAUUUUCUACUUGGGGGUGAUUUCAAAUAGUGCUGCUAUGAACAUUCUUGUAAAUGUCUUUUGGUGAACAUAUGCAACACAUAUAUGCGUUGUUGUUGGUUCCCAGGAGGGGCAUUCCUGGGUCAUAAACAAUGCGUGUGUUCAGGUUUAGUACAGUAUAAUGCCAAACAGGUUUCCAAAGUGUUUGUGCCACUUUACAUACCUGCCAUUAUUGAAAAAGAGUUCUGUUUGCUCCACAUUGUCACCAAUACUUGAUAUUUUCUGUUUUUUUUUUCUUUUAAACCGUACUAGUGGGUGUGCAGUGAUAUUGCAAUGUGGUUUUAAUUUGCAUCUUCCUUGUGACAACCUUGAUUACUGUAAGCCACUUGGAAAUGUGAUUUAAAUUCAUAUAAAGAUAUAGUAGCAAAACGCAUACUAGGUUACUUUCGUAUCCAGAAAGUUUAGAUAGAAUGAUUUCUAUGUAAGCUUUUACUGUGUAGUCUGAGUCCAUGAAUAUUGAUUACAAAAAACACAUCUGUAGGUGAGUUACAAUACCUCACUUAUAAUUCAAAAUUCAUGUGUUAGCUCAAUAUUUUUCAAAUAAUUUUUGCAUGCAAUUUUCACCUUCUUUCUGAGUAGUUUCAGGUAUUUUGUAUGGUUCCAGCAGUCAGUUAGGUUGCCAUUGUUUGGAAGCACACAUCCACGUAUCUGCACCAUGAUGAUAUGGCACGCCCAUACCCCUCAUUUCACAUUUUGUCAGAAGUGCAUAGUUAUCACUAACUUUGCCAGUAGAAAUGUACUCCCAAUUUCCCACGGACUUAUCUUGAAUAAUCUCUCCACUGAAGCAUAACAGGUUUUGAAUUCUGUUAGAAUAGUUGUUUUUACUAUCUUUUAAUUUUAUACAAAUUUCAAAGUUACGUAAUACUUUUAUUUAAAAAGUGAAACAAAGCUUUUCCUCUCCCUUACCCACAUGUUAGUCCAGCAGAAGGGGAAAGCAUUGGCCCCAGGCCAAAAUCAUAAACGCUUUCAAUUAACUAAUAAUAAUUGCUGGCAUGUUGCCAUUAAAUAUCCUUGUCUCAUUAUCUCUGGUUGCUUUAUCAAACCCAUAGGUCACUGAAGCCCACUUUUGAGACAAAGACUAUUUCUCCCCCAAAAGUCAAGGGAAAUAUAAAAAAUGAAAUUAGUGAUUAAGAAUAGAAGUCAAUUAAUACAAUCAUUUUGUCUUAAUUAUUUAAAGUCCAGUUUUUUUCCUGCAGCAAACCUGAAAAUACACUAUCCUCCAGCUAUCAGAAUUAUAUUGAGAUCUACUCACAUUUAUGAUGAUGUUCAGAGAUUCUCAUUGGGAAGGAAAAGGCACACGCUGCGGUGGUCUUGCAUGACUCUGUUGUUGUGGAAAUUCAAUUUGUUCAUUGUGUUUUGGGCUCCCUGGGUGGUCAGGGCUGGGCUCUGGGUCCUUGGCAAUUCCUCAGGUUCCCAGCACUCCAAAGCCAAGCUCACCUCCUCAUCACACGCCCUGCAGGAGAAGCAUUAGGGUGUCCGACUACGUGGGUUUCAUAGCUGUGGAAAAGCCAAAGGGGAGACUCCUGAAGAAAGGCGGUGAAGACUGUGAAGAGCGGGUCAGGAAGAUGAGCACAGCACUGCUACUCCUGUGGGCACAGGGACAGCAUGUCUCCAGCCAGUGCCACCUUGUUUAAUACAUGGGAACUCACUGAAAUUCAUUCUGUAUUUUGCCCGCAAAGUUUUAAAGAUUUCAUCCACAGUCAGGAAUUAAACUUAUACCAAUGAGAGCCUCACACAUUCAAGGAUGUACUAAGCACUACAGGCCUCACAGAAACAGAGAUCCCAUCUUGGAGUUUUCAGUCCCACAUGGGAGAUAAAGGGUUUUGAACAUGAAAUGACAAAAACAACAGCAAGAAGAAAAUUCUCGUCCUUUUUCAUUACUAUCAGACUCAAAUAAAUGUCUUGGCUCUUACAUUACAUUCAUUCUUCAACCAUUGUGGUCUGGCUUCCACUUCCUUCACUUCACCAACAUGGCUCUGCCAAAGGAAGCCCGUGAUCUCUAGGCCAUCACUUUAAUUGAUCUCUCUACAACAUUUAUCCUGGUCGUUAAGCCCUCCUUACAACAUUCUUUUCUCUGUUUUUAUAGCUCCAUCUCUCCUGCUUCUUUAACUUGAUAAUGCAUACUUGAUUUUUCUAUUUGUUAUUUCAUAAACCAAUUAAUAUACAGAUAAAAUGACUGUAUAUCAAACCAUGUUUGUAUAGAAAAAAUGGAUUUUGGAUGCCUCUCAUAUGUAAUUAGUUCUAUUAAACAUAUUAAUUGUAUUGUUUAAUUUGUCAGGUUUUUGACAGAAUUUUGUUUACAAGUAAUAAAAAUUUUAUCUCCAAUUUUCAAUAA
ensembl:lncRNA HERC2P9 HERC2 pseudogene 9